rnacentral:rRNA from 1 species
AGUACAGUGGCGUACGGGUGAGUAACACGUGGGUGAUCACCUUUUAGUGGGGAAUAACCCUGGGAAACUAGGGCUAAUACCGCAUAAUCCCGAGAGGGGAAAGCAGCAAUGCGCUGAAAGAGGAGCCCGCGGCCGAUUAGCUAGUUGGUAGGGUAAGAGCCUACCAAGGCAGAGAUCGGUAGCCGGCCUGAGAGGGCACACGGCCACACUGGCACUGAAACACGGGCCAG